GAUAAAAAAGAAAAACUCUUCAGGAGCAAGAAGGAAAAGAAACAUUCACUGCUAAGAAGGUUCAGUGACUUCCUUCUUUGGAUGAAAUGCUCAGAAAGGCCCUCCAAAGUCAUCUUUAAAGGUGAUGUUAACUCAGAAAAUAAAAAUAUUCCAAUCACUGAGGGAGGCUGAAGCAGGAAGAUCCAAGUUCAAGACCUGCUUGAGCAACUUAGCAAGUCUCUGUCAAAGAAAAAGAAAAGACCUGGGAAUGUAGCUCAGUGGUAUAGCACCCCUGGAUUUGAUGCACAGUGCUGAAAUAAAUAAAUAAAUACUGGCAUAAACUUAAGAGUAUUUGGAGAAUAUCUCAAUAGUAGCACCAAGAAAAAAAUAUAAAAUUUGUAGUAUAGUUGAGAAUACUCCACGCUGCAUGUGACUUGCUCAAGGGCUUGUGCAGCAUCGGAUCCCACCUAGUUAACCAAGCCCUGACAUCCUUGUCUCAAGUCCUAGCGCAGCAGUUCUGCUAAGGAGUUCACACAAUGAGCAAAAUUUUGUCUUUUCUCUCUAUCUUGGUCAAUUUCAUUCGAUAGCAAAACUAUUUAAUAUAAACCCUAACACACACGGUUACUGGGUUCUAAAAUGGCCUACAGGUGAUGAUCACAGCUAUCGAGUAUAUGAAAUAAAAAUUUGACAAUUGCAUAUCUGGGUUUAUUACUGUUAUUUCAACAUGUAUUAAAGGAAAAAGCUUAUUAUUCCUCAUCUUCACCUCCAAUUACUUUAUCUACAGUCUGACUGUCUUUACAUGUUACUCAGGAUUGCCACCAUUCCAAAAUCAUCACUUUCCUACCCCCAGUUAAAACUUCUGCUCUCAAAUAAUUAUUAAAGUAUUUCAGGUUAAGAGGGGAAUGAAGCUUAACUCUAUCCAUUUAAAAGAGUUUGUGACUAUAAAUCAGUCCUUAAUUACUAGAAGCACAGUGAAACAGUGGGCAUUCUUAAUUUUCUCACCAAGUCCCUCAGACUUUGUCUUUCUUUACCUCAUUUUUCAGAGAAUGAAUAUAGAGCAGCAAUUUUUCUGUGCCAAAGAAUCUUAUGCUGCCCUCUCUCUUCCUCGCUGGAAUUCUCACUCUUCCCAUGUUCAGGAGAAAAGAGCCACCAGUUUGGGAGAGCGUAUCUUGGUGCAGAUAACAGAAGGUGCUUUUGUUAGAUACCAUGGACCCCUCUCCGCUUCCUCUGGAACAAAGCCUUCCGACUGAGUUGCUGGUAAUGCUGAGCAUUUCAACAAAGCAGAAGCAACAUCUCUUGUGAACUUGUUAAAUAAUUAGGAGAUACUGCAAGAACUAUAUGAAAACUAUGUAAACCACCCAAGG
ensembl:lincRNA